CGCGCUUCCUUGGUCGAAAUCGACAAGAAACCUGGAUUCGUCCACAAUGGCGUCCAGAGGCCUCCAUUUCAAUGGGCCAAACACCGGAGGAACAGUCGACGCCCACGUCAAUUGCGUCAGAAGCUACAAUGUAGCUUAUUGGUCAAACUAACGUCACCCCCUCACGAUUUUACAAAAUAAAAGCAGGCACAUUAUGUUAAAUAGGAAAAGGGUGAUUUUACACACCAAAAAAAGGUCCACGACACAUAUUUAGAUGAUAUAUAUGUAUUUAUUCUAUUAAGAAUGUUGCCAAGCUUGAAUGAUGCUUUAUACAAGUAAAAAUAUAUCGCUUCCGCCGUAAAUACUUUUAUUUUGAAAAGGACCAGUACAGCUUCCUACUAUAAAAUGCCUCGUAUGCUAUCUACUGAAAUGCCGUGCACUGUCAUUUGUGAGAUGCUCUUCUACACACAAGUGAGAUUCUGUGCAGUCUCAUUACUGAGAGCCUCUUAUACACACAAGUGAAUAACCUCUCACACAUAAGACUGAAAAAUAUCUCACAUUCCUUGGUCAAACGUUCGUAUAAAUGCAUGUGAAAACAUCUGUACAGAUACGUAUGACUUAAAAAGCUAUCAGACAUAAGUCUCGGUAAUUAUAAGUAUGGGGGUAAUUAUAAGUAUCCACAUUGAUGCAUGCCAUUGAAUUAUAAUAAAUUGAAUGGUUGAAUAAUCAAGAAAGCAAGAUAUUUUCAUUAGCACAUAUAUUUUAAGCUUGAUAAAGAUAGAUCUAAAUAAAGUUUAAGAUUUUUUUAGCAUUAUUGAAUAAAUUAUAUUGUGUGUUUUAAACGUGGCAUUAAAAAACAACAACAAUAAUAUUACAUUUUAUUUUUAGGUGUCUUUCAGGACACUCAAGAUUGCCGUACAAGGUAAAAGGUAAAAAAUAAGUUAAAAUACACACAUACAGAUAAAACCCACAACAAUGUUAAAUUAAAAAGAAUAAUGGAAUUAUGAGGAAGAAAGCCUGUCUGAAUAAAUAUGUUUCAAGAUGUUACUUGGCUGAGAUUGUAAGGAAGUCCAAAGUAUUGUGCGGCCUCAUCAACAUCAAAUUAUAAUCGAUAUAAGGGUCAGCAGGGAUGAAAUCGAACUACAUAUUCACACACAUUCAGUACUAGCCUACAUUCUAUAAUGAAGUGGAACACUGAUAAAGGUAUAGUUUAUGGUUUUUAUUUAAAACUGUAUUUUUGAUGACUGCUGUUAGUUAAAACGUCCACUAGAUGGCAUUAUAUGAUCUUGCAUUGCACUAAAACCAGGUAUAUGAGCGUUGCAUUUUGGGAAAUGAAGAUGCUAUGAACGCUAAUGGAGAAAACGCUAACGCUAGCGCGACCUCUUUCAAACCAAAGAAAAACUGACGAGUUCCAGACUGCUCUAAUCAGCGAAUUACAUCUGAGUUCUGUGUGAUACAAGUGUCUGACAGAAUUGAUGUCAAGGAGGAUUCGGCCUGAUUCAAUGAGGGAUUGAGGACCAAUUUUUUUCAACUUCAGCCAACUGUUGGAGCAUCACCCAAAGCAGAUAAGGUCGUGGAGGAAAAGACGUUAGUUUGACCAAUAAGCUACAUUGUAGCUUAUGACACAAUUGAAGUGGGCGUCAACUGUUCCUCCGGCUUUUGGCACAUUUAAAUGGAGGCCAGUAUCCGGACGAGUCCAGGUUACCUGCUGAUAUCGACAAAGAGAAGCACAGGAUAAAUUGCCACUCAGUGACGGUAUGAAUGUGGGUGCCAAUGGUCGUCUGUCUCUUUGUGUACCCUGUGAUUAAUCAUUUCAGCGUGCUGCCCGUCUUCCAUUGCAAGUAUUGGUGGCUCGGUGGUAGAGUUUUCGCACGCUGCGCGGGAACCCCGAGACUGAUGCCCGGGCACGCCGAUGCAUCUUGGGGUAGCCUUUGCAGCUAGCCUCGCAUCGGGGCAACAGUUCCGCUACGACAACGCGAGCAGACCAGGAUAUACGGUGUUGGAAAUGUCCCACACUACAACAAAUCAUUAUUUUAUCCACACUGGUUUGAGUGCAAUAUUGUUGUGGUUGGUUCGUUGUUUAAAAUGUGUAAAAGAAAUAAUGUUUGUUUUGCAUGUGGGAUGAGAAUUCAGUAAAACGGCAUGUGAGGGACUAACUUGUCCCCCCCCUCCACAGUACUUAAGUUACUGAAUAUGUAUAUAAAAAUGGAUCUUAAGCUACUAUACCGAGUGUGGUUUGAUUGUCAAUAUCAGUUUGCAUAUGACUGAUGAAAAAGGUAAAAUUUCAGAUUUGAAGAAGUCCAUUGGAACUGUUUUGAAAUAAAAAAAAACCAUCCCACCUUGUUUCCAAUUGCCAAAUAUAUAUGCCUUGUAGACUGAAGUGCAAAUUGUGUUUAUUCACAGAUGCAAGACAGUGUUAAAGUAUAAGAAUAAAAUGUCGCAGUAAGGUUUAUUGACCACAUAUUAUAUGUACAUAAUAUAAUUAUAUAUAAGGAAUGUUUGUAUAUAUAAUUUAUGUUUGUACAUAUGAUGUAUGUGUGUAUGUGCAGGGUGAUUCAAAAACAAUGUGCCAAAAUCACACAUUUAUUCCUUUCAAAAUCAUUGACAUAGACUGAAAUGAUUAAUUAAAUUGUUAAUUUGAUAAGAAAGUCUCUUUAUCAAGUAAGUUAACAAAUUUAGUCAUAUCAGCUUGAUUGUCCGUGAUGCUGCUGGUGGUCACAUUGAGCACUUGUAAAGCAUGAAAUAAAAACAAAAAUAUACAAUACUUGUGUCAAUGUAGUUAUUGCCCCCCCAAUUUACCGCAAUGGUUUUGGCCCAUUCUUUUUUUCAUCACCCUGUAUAGUGUAUGUGUGUAUAUAUGUAUGUGUAUAUAUAUACAUUAUUUCUAUAUAUUUAUGCAAAUAUUUUGCGGUACUUCGUGCUGAUUGCAGCUAUGCUCUGGACCCGCGUUCCGUCGACAUUCGCUGGAAGUGAUGGUAAGUUAAUGCAGCGCCAGCCGUACAACAACAGACGCCGAAUCUCAAUGACGCACCCUGAGCCACCCAGGUUUCAUUUUUGCAACGUGUUGACAGUUAGAGCUGUUCCUGAAUGGGAAACAUUUAGGAGCAUAAAAAUACUGCCAGCUUUAACUUCACGGCUGGUAAUGACAGUGUUAGACAUCCGAUCUUCCUUUCCAUCCACUCCCAGUCAAAAUGGAUUCGACAUGUAGUACAAACAUGGCACCCAAAAUAUUGUUUCACAUGUGUGCGUGCGCAAAAAGUAUUCCACAUGUAUGCGCGUAAGUGUCUCACAUGUAUAAGCGCAAAGAUUUCACAUUCAUGCGCGUGAGUGUCUCACAU